CGGUGGAGUAUGUGGUUAAUUCGAUGCAACGCGAAGAACCUUACCUGGUCUUGACAUCCCGGAGACCCUUAGGAAACUAGGGGGUGCUUCCAUCUGGAAGAAUCUGGAGACAGGUGCUGCAUGGCUGUCGUCAGCUCGUGUCGUGAGAUGUUGGGGUUAAGUCCCGCAACGAGCGCAACCCUUGCCUUUAGUUGCCAGCAGUUCGGCUGGGCACUCUAAAGGGACUGCCGGUGUUAAACCGGAGGAAGGUGGGGAUGACGUCAAGUCCUCAUGGCCUUUAUGACCGGGGCUACACACGUACUACAAUGGCCGAUACAAAGGGCAGCGACACUGCGAGGUGAAGCCAAUCCCGUAAAAUCGGUCUCAGUCCGGAUUGGAGUCUGCAACUCGACUCCAUGAAGUUGGAAUCGCUAGUAAUCGUGGAUCAGCAUGCCACGGUGAAUACGUUCCCGGGCCUU
rnacentral:rRNA from 1 species